GAUGAACGCUAGCGGCAGGCCUAACACAUGCAAGUCGAGGGGUAGAAUUAGCUUGCUAAUUUUGAGACCGGCGCACGGGUGCGUAACGCGUAUGCAAUCUGCCUUGUACUGAGGGAUAGCCCAGAGAAAUUUGGAUUAAUACCUCAUAGUAUUAUGAUGUGGCAUCACAUUAUAAUUAAAGUUCCAACGGUACAAGAUGAGCAUGCGUCCCAUUAGUUAGUUGGUAAGGUAACGGCUUACCAAGACGAUGAUGGGUAGGGGUCCUGAGAGGGAGAUCCCCCACACUGGUACUGAGACACGGACCAGACUCCUACGGGAGGCAGCAGUGAGGAAUAUUGGUCAAUGGCGCAAGCCUGAACCAGCAUGCCGCGUGCAGGAUGACGGUCCUAUGGAUUGUAAAACUGCUUUUAUACGGGAAGAAAACACUGCUACGUGUAGCAGCUUGACGGUACCGUAAGAAUAAGGAUCGGCUAACUCCGUGCCAGCAGCCGCGGUAAUACGGAGGAUCCAAGCGUUAUCCGGAAUCAUUGGGUUUAAAGGGUCCGUAGGCGGCUUUAUAAGUCAGUGGUGAAAGGCCCAUCGCUUAACGAUGGAACGGCCAUUGAUACUGUAGA
rnacentral:rRNA from 1 species